AAUUUUGGACAACGGGGGAAACCCUGAUCCAGCCAUCCCGCGCGUAUGAUGAAGGCCNNNGGGUUNUAACGUACUUUUGGCAGNGAANAAAAGGUACCGCCUAAUACGAGGUACUGCUGACGGUAUCUGCAGAAUAAGCACCGGCUAACUACGUGCCAGCAGCCGCGGUAAUACGUAGGGUGCAAGCGUUAAUCGGAAUUACUGGGCGUAUAGAGUGUGUAGGCGGUUCGUAAAGAAAGAAGUGAAAUCCCAGGGCUCAACCUUGGAACUACAGUUUUAACUGCCGAGCUAGAGUAUGUCAGAGGGGGGUAGAAUUCCACGUGUAGCAGUGAAAUGCGUAGAUAUGUGGAGGAAUACCGAUGGCGAAGGCAGCCCCCUGGGAUAAUACUGACGCUCAGAAACGAAAGCGUGGGGGGCAAACAG
rnacentral:rRNA from 1 species